AUACGGAAGGGGGCUAGCGUUGCUCGGAAUGACUGGGCGUAAAGGGCGUGUAGGCGGUUUACACAGUCAGAUGUGAAAUCCCCGGGCUUAACCUGGGAGCUGCAUUUGAGACGUUAAGACUAGAGUGUGAGAGAGGGUUGUGGAAUUCCCAGUGUAGAGGUGAAAUUCGUAGAUAUUGGGAAGAACACCGGUGGCGAAGGCGGCAACCUGGCUCAUGACUGACGCUGAGGCUCGAAAGUAUGGGUAGC
rnacentral:rRNA from 1 species